rnacentral:lncRNA from 1 species
GUACAUGGUGUUCGCCUGCUCCGACUCCCGUGUGUGCCCGUCGGUGACCCUGGGCCUGCAGCCCGGCGAGGCCUUCACCGUCCGCAACAUCGCCUCCAUGGUGCCACCCUACGACAAGGUAUGCAUACACAGACGACGUCCAAUACAAUACGUUCUUUUUGUUCUCACAAUCUCACGCUCACGCGCUCGUUCGAUCGCCUUUCGUUUUGUCGUCAAUCUGCAGACCAAGUACAGCGGCACCGGGUCCGCCAUCGAGUACGCCGUGUGCGCCCUCAAGGUGCAGGUGCUCGUCGUCAUUGGCCACAGCUGCUGCGGUGGCAUCAGGGCGCUCCUCUCCCUCAAGGACGGUGCACCUCACAACUUGUAAGUCAUCACUUUUUUUUUAUUUAUUUAUUUCACGGACACACUUAGCUUGAAGCGUGUGUUGUAUUUCAUUAAACCGAAAUGUAUGUAAUAAUCAACGUAAAAUGUACGUACAAGCAGCUAAGUUUCAUUCGGAACCUCUUUGUGUGCCUCGUGUCAUGAUUUUUUUUUUGACCCUAGCAUGAUGUCUCUGUUUGGUUUGGUGGUGUAUGUAUCCAGCCACUUCGUUGAGGACUGGGUCAGGAUCGGCUCCCCUGCCAAGGCGAAGGUGCACAAAGAGCAUGCCUCAGUGCCGUUCGAUGACCAGUGCUCCAUCCUGGAGAAGGUACGUACACCGUAUGUACACGCAUUGCAUGAAUGCAAUGAGUUGAUUUUGCUCACAAAAGGGACCUUGUAUUUUUCUGAAUGUUUCUGCAGGAGGCCGUGAACGUGUCCCUCGCCAACCUCAAGACUUACCCCUUCGUCAAGGAACGGCUGGCCAAAGGGACCCUCAAGCUGGUCGGCGCCCACUACGACUUCGUGUCCGGGAAGUUCCUCACAUGGGAGCCUGUAGGGUUCAUAACCUUCAUCCUUACAUUUUCAAUUGUACAUACUGUAUCUGAGACCACAUGGUUUUACCUCCUGGCACACUCCAGAUCCAAACUUCCUAUCCAUUUUCUCUCCUUCCUUGCCAUCGCAAUUAAUUUCUUUCUAAGAAGAACAAAAUCACCACCAAAUCCAACCACAACACUUGAAAUCCGCCCCAUGCAUAGCACUUGAAACCAGCCCCAACAUCUUAAUUGACCUACUUCUCAUCUUCUUCGGAUAUAAGAAGAUUGAACCCUAUCUCCACCGCAAAUACAUAUAUCGCGUUCACCCGCUACAAACUUCUAGUCCAGUUGUCGCCUGGUCCUCUAUCCGCUUCAAUUAGGCUUGCCGUUGCAUCGAAUUUCUAACCUCGUUGGUGCACCAGGCUCGUCUGUGGUGAUGGAUAUGAGGCCAUGGCCAUCGAGGUCCAUCUACCACAAAGAUGCCACUGCCUUUUUCCAUGGCCACCAUGGUUUGCCGAAUCAGUUGUCCCCCGAGGAAGCAAUCAUCAUGUUGGAGUCGUUCUUCUCUACAAAACGUGCUCAAGUAGCCAUCGACAUUCCGCUUAAGCGAUAUAUAUUGUCCACAAAAGCUGUGCUUGACCGUUACUCAUUUUUCAUCAAAUCCCGCGUUGUGCGGUGUCUCUUUCUCUCACUAAAACGAUUGCACAUGUCAUCAUGUUGAUGUUGCUAGUAAUCUAGACAAUGGGGCAGCUCAAAAGGUGAACGAGAGAGAUAUAGAGAGAAAGGGAGGGAGGGAGGGCCACACCGCAUCUAUCCAUCUGACUAUAAGGGGGCAAAAGAAGAAAAGAGGAGAAGAUGAGAAGUUGCAUUUGCCUCCCUGUUAUAUAUCAAAGGAGGGUCAAUGAAGCCGUCCAUAGAUUCCCACACCUCGUCACUCCUUGAGAACCAGAAGCCCACCCCAUCCAGUCCAAGGUCCGUUCCCUCAUCCUCCUCCCUCACCCUCGCCAUCAUCCUUCACAUAGCACACACAGUAAUCUUUGUCCGUCCCUCUGUUUUCUUUUCCUCUAUUGCCAUCAUGAGCCUGCAACUUCUGCUUUCUCCCUAUGUUGUAUUGUGUUGGUGCAAAGAAGAUCCAUCUUCCCCUUUUUGAUCAUAUUUUAUGCAUGCUUUCCUUAUGGUCCGUGGCAAGGAGGCCAAGCAUUGGCAUCAUGCCCCUUCUAUCUCUCUCUACCCCCUCAUGCCCCUUCUCUUUCUCUCUCUACCCCCGUCAUGCUGCAUCACGAUCAUGAGUAUGCAAGUUGGUCUUUCCGGGAUGGCAAAAUGACCGAUGGUUUUCUGGUUGUUGGUCUUGUAGGUGAUGGACGCCGUUGACCGCUUGAAGAGCGGGUUCGAGCAGUUCAAGAUCGAGGUCUAUGAGUAAGUCAUCUCUCUACUUAGAGCUGUUGUUUUUUUAAUUUGUAGCACCCAUGUUUGGUUUAAUAUUUUCAGUUUCAACCACUUGAUUUAUUUUGGGAAUUCUGAGAGCUCCGACUGAUACUGCCAUGUUGUCUUUUUUCUGCAGCAAGAAGCCAGAGCUUUUUGAGCCUCUCAAAUCUGGCCAGGCCCCCAGGGUAUGUGUAGGGAUGAAAAUGGAUCAAAUUUGUAUAGAAUCAAAUCCAUAUAUCACCUCUUAACACAUUUUUAUUCAAAUUCAGUUAUUGGAUACAUAUACUUUUGAAUACAAAUAUAAAACAAAUGUCUUGAAUCUGUAUUUCUAUUCAAAGAUUUACUCAAUUCAACUCAAAUUGUAUAUUGCUAAAUUCAACGUACAUGUAUACAAUUUUACUACUAAAUUCAUCGAUAAACCUUUUUUGCUUUAUCAAUUUUUUAGGUUUACAAACUAUUAUAUUGAAACAUUUGUGUAUAUAAUUUAAAAUGAAUGGUGACAGCUUGUCGCCAUUAGCGGCCAAUUGGCAAGUACUAGUAGUAGUCUGUUGGAUAUAAUCCCUCCAUCCUAAAUAUAUGCAGAAAUCAUCUAUUGAGGAGUAAUUCUUUUUUUCAGUUUAACUAAAAGUAUAAUUUAUUUCGAAAAAAUACUAAAUGCUCAAUCUAAUGAUAUUUAUUAUACACUAUAAACAUUAAUAUAUUUUUAAUAUAAAUAUAAUUAAAAUUUAAAAAUUUGAAGUUUCAUAAAGCGAGAUGUACAGUUAUUUUGGGACAAAAGAAAUAGUCCUAUAAUUAUUUUGUACUACAAAAGUCUGCUCCAUAGGGCACAAGCUUCAACUUUGGCACUACUAGUCAUAGGCUCAUUGCGCAAAGAAAUGGUGGUGGGAGUGGGAUACAUACAUGCUCCUUCUUUUCCCGAUCGAUCGACCUGAUGCUGAUUAUUUUCCUCUGCUGCAUGCAUGCAGUACAUGGUGUUCGCCUGCGCUGACUCCCGUGUGUGCCCGUCGGUGACCCUGGGCCUGAUGCCCGGCGAGGCCUUCACCGUCCGCAACAUCGCCGCCCUGGUCCCAGGCUACGACAAGGUACGUACACACUGACCGUCGUCGCCGACGACACAAAAUGGCCGUCUAUUUCUCCUCGGCCCGGCCGGCCGCCGCCGGCCGGGCAUGACAGAGGAUCGAGGACUGACACGGCCGCGCCUUUCGUAUUCGUCACCUGCAGACCAAGUACACCGGCAUCGGGUCCGCCAUCGAGUACGCCGUGUGCGCCCUCAAGGUGCAGGUGCUCGUCGUCAUUGGCCAUAGCUGCUGCGGUGGCAUCAGGGCGCUCCUCUCCCUCCAGGACGGUGCACCUGACAACUUGUAAGACGCCACCGUAAAAUAUACAAAGUUUCAUUAAGAUAAAACAAAAAUUCUUUUGUACCUCUAUGAUGAUUUUGAUCCCAGCGCAUUUUUAUCUGUUGUUUUUUUUGUGGUGUAUCCAGCCACUUUGUUGAGGACUGGGUCAAGAUUGGCUUCCCUGCCAAGAUGAAGGUGAAGAAAGAGAACGCUUCGGUGCCGUUCGAUGACCAAUGCUACAUUCUAGAGAAGGUAUGUACACCGUACAUGCACGAGCAGUUAGUUGCUGCAUGAAUGGAUUAAUUUUUGCUCACCGGAGAACCUUGUAUUUCUGAAAAUGUUUCUGCAGGAGGCCGUGAAUGUGUCCUUGGAGAACCUCAAGACCUACCCAUUCGUCAAGGAAGGGCUGGCCAACGGUACCUUAAAGCUGGUCGGCGGCCACUAUGACUUCGUGAAAGGAGAGUUCCUCACAUGGAAAGUCUAGAGCUAAGGCACCCGGACGGCCCAACUCCUACAUCAUCAUAAAUUUAUACCACAUAUAUACCUACCGAUAUGCACCCGAUCGAUGCGAAUGCGCGGAGUACUACAUGCAUGUUUUCAGCAACUACAUAUAUACAUACCGGAUCGCCCCAAUGUGAAUGUAAUAAGCAAUAGCAUUUUCAACCGCUUUCAUUUCUAACGCCGAGCUUUUAUGUACUAUAUAUAUAAUAUGAUGCAUAAUUGACCGGCUUGUGGUCAAAAGACAUCAA